GUGCCAGCCGCCGCGGUAAUACGGAGGGUGCGAGCGUUGUUCGGAAUCACUGGGCGUAAAGGGCGUGUAGGCGGUCCGUUAAGUCUGAUGUGAAAGCCCGGGGCUCACCCCCGGAAGUGCAUUGGAAACUGGCGGACUCGAGUCCCGGAGAGGAGGGUGGAAUUCCUGGUGUAGCGGUGAAAUGCGUAGAUAUCAGGAGGAACACCGGUGGCGAAGGCGGCCCUCUGGACGGUGACUGACGCUAAUACGCGAAAGCGUGGGGAGCAAACAGGAUUAGAUACCCGGGUAGUCC
rnacentral:rRNA from 1 species